GAUGAAGAACGUAGUGAAAUGCGAUAAGUAGUGUGAAUUGCAGAAUUCAGUGAAUCAUCGAAUCUUUGAACGCACAUUGCGCCCUUUGGUAUUCCUUAGGGCAUGCCUGUUCGAGCGUCAUUUAAACCUUCAAGCUAAGCUUGGUGUUGGGUGACUGUCCGCUUCACGGCGGACUCGCCUCAAAAUUAUUGGCGGCCGGUACAUUGGCUUCGAGCGCAGCAGAAACGCGAACUCGGGCCCGUCGUAUUGGCUCCCAGAAGCUAUCUUCACAAUUUUGACCUCGGAUCAGGUAGGGAUACCCGCUGAACUUAAGCAUAUCAAUAAGCGGAGGA
rnacentral:misc_RNA from 1 species